UGGCCAGAAGAAUUGGUACAGCUUCUACUCACGGGUAGAUUGAGAAAUUUUGCUUCUGCCCCCAGAGAUGAAGAUGUUUUUUCUCUUGAGGAUAUACAAUGGAAUGGGGGCAUAGGAUAGGAAACAAGGGUCCUGGUGAUGAUGCUUUCUAGCAAAGGAGGUUCUUGUAAGUCGUUCCAUCGGAGAUGCCCUUAGACAAAGUUAGUUUCCGACAGGUUGAAGCAAUGCUGAUAACAUGGCUAUAAGGUAAACUUUUCCGGCAUUUGACAUAUCCAUUGUUGACGAAAAAACAUAUUUUCAUCACGGUAUCUGUUUACAUUUGAAUCUUUGUUGUCACAACACGUCUCACAUGGAUAGAAAAGUGAGCUCUAUGUAAAUUCAAAGUUGUAGACUAACGAUAACUUCUACCACAAUUUUAAGUUGAUUUGAAGGUUAUUAUAUCAACAUGCUACUUAGGGUUUGGAGCAUGAUGCUUGUAUUAUGGAGAUGGUUAAUAUUAUU